rnacentral:rRNA from 1 species
GAUGAACGCUGGCGGCGUGCCUAAUACAUGCAAGUCGAGCGAACAGAUGAGGAGCUUGCUCCUCUGACGUUAGCGGCGGACGGGUGAGUAACACGUGGAUAACCUCCCUAUAAGACUGGGAUAACUUCGGGAAACCGGAGCUAAUACCGGAUAAUAUAUUGAACCGCAUGGUUCAAUAGUGAAAGACGGUUUUGCUGUCACUUAUAGAUGGAUCCGCGCCGUAUUAGCUAGUUGGUAAGGUAACGGCUUACCAAGGCAACGAUGCGUAGCCGACCGGAGAGGGGGAUCGGCGACACUGGAACUGAGACACGGUCCAGACUCCUACGGGAGGCAGCAGUAGGGAAUCUUCCGCAAUGGGCGAAAGCCUGACGGAGCAACGCCGCGUGAGUGAUGAAGGUCUUCGGAUCGUAAAACCCUGUUAUUAGGGAAGAACAAAUGUGUAAGUAACUAUGCACGUCUUGACGGUAACUAAUCAGAAAGCCACGGCUAACUACGUG